AUUGUUAUUAAAGUUAUGCAUGAUCCUACUGAAGUGUUUGGGGGAAUUCUGGUUGCCACCUGAUACCAUUUAGUAAGAGUGAGAUAGUGAGAAUGAGAUUUCAACUAUAAUAGAAGUGCCAUUUUUUAACUGAAGGUCGCAACAGAAGCCCUAGAGUGAAGCUUCAGCCAAUGAACAAAGUGAGAGAUCCAGAAUUGAAAGCCUUGAUCGCAUCAAGUGCAGUAUUGAACAAGCCAAGGAACUUGUAUUUAACCCGAGUCUAUAUCAAAUUGCAACCCCAUUUCUCUGUAUUUGUCCAUAGUUUGGGAAUUGUGUUUGUUUAAUCGAUGCUAGCGAGAAUGACAGUUAUAGUCUCUGAGCCCUUUUUACUCAUUCACAUAAUUCAAUUUAGUUGUAAUUUGCCAA